rnacentral:rRNA from 1 species
UACGGAAGGGGGCUAGCGUUGUUCGGAUUUACUGGGCGUAAAGCGCACGUAGGCGGAUCUUUAAGUCAGAGGUGAAAUCCCAAGGCUCAACCUUGGAACUGCCUUUGAUACUGGGGAUCUUGAGUCCGGGAGAGGGUGAGUGGAACUGCGAGUGUAGAGGUGAAAUUCGUAGAUAUUCGCAAGAACACCAGUGGCGAAGGCGGCUCGCUGGCCCGGUACGUGA